rnacentral:pre_miRNA from 1 species
GUGUGGAAAAGGAAGAAAAGUGGGCCUAGGAGCAAUGGGCAUGAGAACAUAGAGGAAGGCCUAGGAUGCAGAGAUCUCAUUUUGAAUCUUCCUGAUGUGCCUCCCAUGCCUACUGUUCUUAGGUGCUCCUUCCUCUUCCUUUCAUCU